AUGGCCGCCGCCUCCGCGCCGCUGCUGCUCGCCCUGGCGCUCGCCUGCGCCGCCUCCCUGGCCGCCGCGGGGGACACCAACCGCGUCUACGACCCUUGCACCGACACCAAGAUCCAGCGCGGGGACGGCUUCACCUUCGGCCUCGCCUUCGCCGCCAACGGCGCCUUCUACUCCGGCUCCACGCAGCUCUCCCCCUGCGACCGCCGCCUCACCCAGCUCUCCCAGCUCUCCCUCUUCCGCCCCAAGGUCGACGAGAUCUCCCUCCUCACCGUCAACACCACCAUUGGCUUCAGCCCCGCCUCAGCUGGUGGGUACAUGGUAGCAUUUGCUGGCAGGAAGUAUGCAGCCAGAUCUCAACCAGUCUUUGUCUCCAAUUCCUCAGUUACAGUGUCCAGCUUCACCCUGGUUCUUGAAUUCAACAAAGGCAAGCUUCAGAACCUGCACUGGAAGAAGGACGGGUGUGGUGCCUGCACAGGGAAGCCAAACUUCAUCUGCCUCGGCAAGCAAACCUGCGCCAUCAGAACAAACAUCUGCAAGAGCAAUAACCAGGGAUCCAUGGACUGCAGCAUCGGCAUCCAGCUGGCCUUCUCGGGCACGGACAAGCACGAGUCGGUCCUCAACUCGUGGUACGAGGUGUCGAACCUGCAGCAGUACUCGCUCUACGGGCUGUACUCGAACGUGAAGGGGUCCCUGAGCGGCCAGUUCAACAAGUUCUUCUAG
rnacentral:rRNA from 1 species